rnacentral:tRNA from 1 species
GGUUGUAGUUCAGUGGCAGAGUGCUUGCCUAGCAUGCGUGAGACACUGAGUUUGAUCCUCAGCACCA